rnacentral:tmRNA from 1 species
GGGGGUGUCCUGGCUUCGACGGGGGUUGCAAAGUCGACUGGCGCAUGCCGAGGGGGUAGCUUUCCUCGUAAAUCCAGCUGCAAACAAUCAGACGCCAACGACGACGUCUACGCUCUGGCCGCUUAAGGCCUAGCCCCGAACCCACUUGUGCCUGUGCUCGUGGAUGUAGGGUCAUUAUCACGGGAUAGUAGCCGGCGGCGACCCGCCAACCGGUAGCGAAUCAAAGCGGGUAUGUCUGACGGUGUGCUUCGCACGUUGUGUUGCCGUCAGCCGAGACCAAACAACGAGCUAAGCAUGUAGUGCCGGAGAUGGCGUGCCUUCGGACGGGGGUUCAACUCCCCCCACCUCCACCA